GGGAUAGCUCAGUCAGCAGAGCAUGGGACUCCUCAUCUUAGUGUUGUGGGUUCAAGUCCCAUGUUGGGCCA